UACGAAGGGUGCAAGCGUUACUCGGAAUUACUGGGCGUAAAGCGUGCGUAGGUGGUUCGUUAAGUCUGAUGUGAAAGCCCUGGGCUCAACCUGGGAAUGGCAUUGGAUACGGGCAGACUAGAGUGCGGUAGGGGAGACUGGAAUUCCUGGUGUAGCGGUGAAAUGCGCAGAUAUCAGGAGGAACACCAGCGGCGAAGGCGGCGCUCUGGGCCGGUACUGACGCUGAGGAGCGAAAGCGUGGGGAUCAAACAGG
rnacentral:rRNA from 1 species